CCUACGGGUGACAGCAGUGAGGAAUAUUGGUCAAUGGCCGGAAGGCUGAACCAGCCAUGCCGCGUGAAGGUCAGUGCCCUAUGGGCGUUAAACUUCUUUUGUGCGGGAGCAAUAAUGGUCACGUGUGGCCAGACGAGAGUACCGUACGAAUAAGCAUCGGCUAACUCCGUGCCAGCAGCCGCGGUAAUACGGGGGGUGCAAGCGUUAUCCGGAUUUAUUGGGUUUAAAGGGUUCGUAGGCUGGGAGGUAAGGCAGCGGUGAAAUGCCCCCGGUUAACGGGGUGAAGUGCCAUUGAUACUGCCUGGCUGGAAUGCGGAUGCCGUGGGAGGAAUGUGUGGUGUAGCGGUGAAAUGCAUAGAUAUCACACAGAACACCGAUUGCGAAGGCAUCUCACGAAUCCGCGAUUGACGCUGAUGCACGAAAGCGUGGGUAUCAAACAGGAUUAGAUACCCGUGUAGUC
rnacentral:rRNA from 1 species